rnacentral:rRNA from 1 species
GGAGCAUACCACGUGAACGAUGAAGGUCUUCUGAUUGUAAAGUUCUUUUAUUUAGGAAAAAAAGCGCGCUAGGAAAUGAGCGCGCCUUGAUGGUACUAAUUGAAUAAGUGACAGCUAACUAUGUGCCAGCAGCUGCGGUAAAACAUAGGUCACGAGCAUUAUCCGGAUUUAUUGGGCGUAAAGGAAGCGUAGGCGGGGAGGUUGAUCCAUUGUUAAAGGCAUUUGCUUAACAAAUGUGUGCAUUGGAGAUCGCCUCCCUAGAGUUAAUCAGGGGGUACUGGAAUUCAAUGUGUAGCGGUGGAAUGCGUAGAUAUAUUGAGGAACACCAGAGGCUAAGGCGAGUACCUAGGAUAUAACUGACGCUGAGGCUUGAAAGCGUGGGGAGCAAAUGGGAUUAGAUACCCCAGUAGUCCACGCCGUAAACGAUGAGCAUUGGGCAUUUGACAUCUGGUCGAGUGCUGUAGCUAACGCGUUAAAUGCUCCGCCUGGGUAGUAUAUAUGCAAAUAUGAAACUCAAAGAAAUUGACGGGGACCUGAACAAGUGGUGGAGCAUGUUGCUUAAUUCGAUAAUACACGAAAAACCUUACCAAGGCUUGUAAUCUACUGCGAAGCUAUAGAAAUAUAGUGGAGGUUAUCAGUAAGACAGGUGGUGCAUGGCUGUCGUCAGCUCGUGUCUUGAGAUGUUUGGUUAAGUCCCGUAACGAGCGCAACCCUACUCUCUAGUUACUUAGUUCUAGAGUGACUGAAUCGUAAGAUAUAGGAAGGAUGGGGCCAAGUCAAGUCAUCAUGCCCCUUAUGCCUUGGGCUGCAAACGUGCUACAAUGGUAGGUACAAUGUGUUGCAAACUAGCGAUAGUGAGCUA